GCGGCCAUAGUUUAAUGGUAUGACACGUCCUUGCCAAGGAUGAGAUGGGAGUUCGAUUCUCCCUGGCCGCACCA
rnacentral:tRNA from 2 species